UUGAGGGGUGGGUGCUAAUGCUGGUAGCUGAAUGAUUAUCUUCUGACUGUUUUCAUUUGUUAAAGCUGAAACACAGUGUACAACACGGGACUUGACGACCAGAGCUGCUUUUGGCAAGAGGUGUUGUAGCUGGCCUAAGAGAGCAGAUGGAAGCAUCUGCCUUGAGGGCAGGUGAGGGGGCAGAGGUGUCUCGCACAGGCUCAGAGGGGCCAAGCUGCACUCUGAAGAGCAGCACAAGAAGGGCGGUCUGGUCACGAGCUGGGUUGGAGCAGAUGUAGUGGGUUUACGUGGAAAAGUUUUGGUAGCAGGGGGCCAUAGGGGUGGUUUCUGUGAGAAAGAUCUAGAAGCUGCCCCAUGUUUGGGAAGGGCCCCAUUGUUUUCCAGA